UACGUAGGGUGCGAGCGUUGUCCGGAAUUAUUGGGCGUAAAGAGCUCGUAGGCGGCCUGUCGCGUCGGAUGUGAAAGCCCGGGGCUUAACCCCGGGUCUGCAUUCGAUACGGGCAGGCUAGAGUGUGGUAGGGGAGAUCGGAAUUCCUGGUGUAGCGGUGAAAUGCGCAGAUAUCAGGAGGAACACCGGUGGCGAAGGCGGAUCUCUGGGCCUGUUCUGACGCUGAGGCGCGAAAGCUAGGGGAGCGAACAGG
rnacentral:rRNA from 1 species